rnacentral:rRNA from 1 species
CGUAGGUGGCGAGCGUUGUCCGGAUUUACUGGGUGUAAAGGGCGUGUAGGCGGGGAAACAAGUCAGAUGUGAAAUUCCGGGGCUCAACCCCGGCGCUGCAUCUGAAACUGUAUCUCUUGAGUGCUGGAGAGGAAAGCGGAAUUCCUAGUGUAGCGGUGAAAUGCGUAGAUAUUAGGAGGAACACCAGUGGCGAAGGCGGCUUUCUGGACAGUAACUGACGCUGAGGCGCGAAAGCGUGGGGAGCAAACAGGAUUAGAUACCCUGGUAGUCCACGCUGUAAACGAUGGAUACUAGGUGUAGGAGGUAUCGACCCCUUCUGUGCCGGAGUUAACACAAUAAGUAUCCCACCUGGGGAGUACGGCCGCAAGGUUG